GAUGAACGCUGGCGGCGUGCCUAAUACAUGCAAGUCGAGCGAACGGACGAGAAGCUUGCUUUUCUGAUGUUAGCGGCGGACGGGUGAGUAACACGUGGAUAACCUACCUAUAAGACUGGGAUAACUUCGGGAAACCGGAGCUAAUACCGGAUAAUAUUUUGAACCGCAUGGUUCAAAAGUGAAAGACGGUCUUGCUGUCACUUAUAGAUGGAUCCGCGCUGCAUUAGCUAGUUGGUAAGGUAACGGCUUACCAAGGCAACGAUGCAUAGCCGACCUGAGAGGGUGAUCGGCCACACUGGAACUGAGACACGGUCCAGACUCCUACGGGAGGCAGCAGUAGGGAAUCUUCCGCAAUGGGCGAAAGCCUGACGGAGCAACGCCGCGUGAGUGAUGAAGGUCUUCGGAUCGUAAAACUCUGUUAUUAGGGAAGAACAAAUGUGUAAGUAACUGUGCACGUCUUGACGGUACCUAAUCAGAAAGCCACGGCUAACUACGUG
rnacentral:rRNA from 1 species